UAGGGAAUCUUCCGCAAUGGGCGACAGCCUGACGGAGCAACGCCGCGUGAGUGAUGAAGGUCUUCGGAUCGUAAAACUCUGUUAUUAGGGAAGAACAAAUGUGUAAGUAACUAUGCACGUCUUGACGGUACCUAAUCAGAAAGCCACGGCUAACUACGUGCCAGCAGCCGCGGUAAUACGUAGGUGGCAAGCGUUAUCCGGAAUUAUUGGGCGUAAAGCGCGCGUAGGCGGUUUUUUAAGUCUGAUGUGAAAGCCCACGGCUCAACCGUGGAGGGUCAUUGGAAACUGGAAAACUUGAGUGCAGAAGAGGAAAGUGGAAUUCCAUGUGUAGCGGUGAAAUGCGCAGAGAUAUGGAGGAACACCAGUGGCGAAGGCGACUUUCUGGUCUGUAACUGACGCUGAUGUGCGAAAGCGUGGGGAUCAAACAGG
rnacentral:rRNA from 1 species